GCCUGGGAUUCAUGGGCUGUACCCUAUAUAUGGGCAGGUGUGUGUCUUGUGUGUGCAUGUUCAUUUGUGUAUAUGAAUAUGAAUAUACACACACUUACACACUCAUGCACACACACACA
ensembl:miRNA Mir669e microRNA 669e